rnacentral:misc_RNA from 1 species
AAGUCGUAACAAGGUUUCCGUAGGUGAACCUGCGGAAGGAUCAUUACAAAUCCAACGUCUCACCGAGACACCGUUGAAACAGCGUGGCGUGACACGGCGGCAUGCCAUUAACUUGCGUGCUUGUCGUGUCACUGCUUACACAACCCAGAAACCGUUGAUCAUCUGUAUGCUUCGUAACACGAAACAACUUAUACCAAUGGAUCUCUAGGCUCUU